AUACGGAGGGUGCAAGCGUUAAUCGGAAUUACUGGGCGUAAAGCGUGCGUAGGUGGUUUGUUAAGUUAGAUGUGAAAGCCCCGGGCUCAACCUGGGAACUGCAUUUGAAACUGGCAUACUAGAGUAUAGGAGAGGAAAGUGGAAUUUCAGGUGUAGCGGUGAAAUGCGUAGAUAUCUGAAGGAACAUCAAUGGCGAAGGCAGCUUUCUGGACUAAUACUGACACUGAGGUACGAAAGCGUGGGUAGCAAACAGGAUUAGAAACCCCUGUAGUCC
rnacentral:rRNA from 1 species